rnacentral:tRNA from 1 species
GCGGUCGUGGCGGAAUUGGUAGACGCGCUAGCUUGAGGGGCUAGUGGGCUUACGCUCGUGGGAGUUCGAGUCUCCCCGACCGCACCA